GGAGAGAGGCUGUGGCUCAGCAGUGGGUCACUUGCUUGGCAUGUAGAAGGUUCCAGGUUCAAUCCCUGGCAUUUCCA
rnacentral:tRNA from 1 species